UAUGGGGGACUUUUGGUAUAACAUUGGAAAUGUAAAUGAGCUAAAUACCUAAAUAAAAUGGGAAAAAAAAAGUAGUUUAGGAAGUGCAACAAUUCCUAAUUCUUAGCACUUAAGGGUAAAUGAAAAGUCUGUGAUUGUGGGAUUUGCAUCUGAGGUUUGCUUUUUUUUUUUUUUUGAGACAAAGACUUCUUGGUGUAGACCAGGCAGGCUAUAAACUCAGAUCCGUUUUGUCUCCUGAGUAACAGAUUAAAGGUAUGCAUCACCUUGCCCAGCCGUCUGAGAUUUCUUGAACUCCCUGGUAGCAGUAGUUUAUGGGAGAGGCCUCCUGUUCCCCCAUACUGCUACUCAGAGUGUAUGCCAGUGGUAGCUUGCUUGCUAGCAUGUGGAAGACCGAGGGCUCUAUCCCCAGUACCCUAGGCUAACUAGAAUGUACUUUUGCUUAGUCCUGAUAGGAAAGGUGACUGGGAAAUUCCGUAGUUGGCCGUAAACCAGCUUCCAGCUGAAGAAAGCACCUGUGUUUUGAAUUGUUAGUGAAGCUUUGUGGUUUUGAGUAUAUAUGUUGUUUUGUUUGUAGUUUACAGAUUAAUUCUCUGUGCAUGCUUUGAGAACUAGGGACACCUGAGCUUAUGAACAUGGGCUUUCUAGACUGAUUUCUUGGAUUCAUCCCAGCUCUACCUGGAACGUUCUCUGGCUCUCAUUUCCUAGUCUGUAAGGUUUACAGAGUCUGGCCUUGGAUUCUGGCCUGCUUCUCUUGUUGCUGCUCUUCAGUUGAGCCACUGAGCUUGUGCAGAGCCUGCAUUUCGUCCUCAGCUGAUGACGUACUCUUUAAGCACCUUUCCCACCUGUAGGUGUUUGUUUGCAGCCAGUGAAGUAUUGCUUCUGAGUCCUUCCCAUUCCUUGAAAGAGAAACUAUGAGCCAGUAGCUUCGUGGCCAGGGCGGCCAGGAGAUCAGUCUUAUCUGGGCAUAGUUAUUAUGGAAAGGCUGAAUUUGCUUUGAGUUGCAAUCUGAACUUUCUUGUAAAGUCUGGGCUUGCCCACUGGGAUAAUCAGAGCAACCAACAUCCUGGGUUAGAGUCUCUAGAGCUGCCAGUGCCAGCCACUGAAGGCUACUGCUCUGCUGUCCCUAAGAUGUUUUCUUCCCGAUGCCUCUCCUGACAUUUCGUGAUUGGUGUGCAUAGGCUUUCAAGUGUGUAGCCCUGAGUUUAGUCUUGUUGGUUUUGGUGCCUUGCAUCGACAGUGAGCGGCUGUACUGGUGAGAUUUGUGUAUCACUGGCUUAGCACCAUUGGUAUCCAGAACAGAUGGUUGGAGAUUCAGAGACCACCAGCCUCUAGCAUGGGCUUGGCCGUAUCUGAUGCAUCUGACUGAGCCCUAAGAGUGCUGCUCCUGACCAGAAGAAAACCUUACACUUGAGUUGGCAGCAGGGUGCAUCCGGUGUGUCACAGGAACUUGCAAAGCCAUUGCGUUAUGUCAGAUGAUGGAAGCUACAUCCUGUAGGCCAGUCUUGUAGCCUUCUGUUGGAGGUGGAUGAGUUAUGUCCUUUAAGGACAGGGUCCAUGUUGGCUGUUCCUUUCACAAGCUCGGGUGUCACAGGCCUCGUGGGCAGUUACCUGCUGCUUUGUUAGGCAGGCAGUAAGAAUGUGUAGACCUUACCACCUCUAGCUGGCCCGGUUCCUUGACUUUCCAAGCAAAUGGAACUAAGAACUUCUUGAAGUGUGUUUGGUUCUGUUAGGAUGGCUAUUGUCCUUACCCAGACUGCCUGCUCUUAAGAGUUUGUAGAAAGACUAGGUGUGUUCCUCCUUCUCUUCCUCUCUUCCUCUCUUCCUGCCUCCUUCCCUUCCUUCCUGCCCCUCUCCUCCCUUUCCUGCCUCCCUCCUUCACCUUUGAUAUUACCUGUGCCUUAGGGCCCAACAUACUGCAGUACUAGGAAUAGAUUGGUGGGUUGGGUCAAGAGUAUUUAGAUAAGGUACUCUCUUGUUUCAAUGGCCCUGACCUCAAAAGUGUUUAGGUCAUUGAAAAAUGUGGAAAAAAUGAAGGGGCUGGAAAGAUACCUCAGCAGCUUAGAGCUCUGAAUGCUCUUCUAAAGGACCUGGGUUUGAUUCUCAGCACCCACAGUGAGGCUCGGAGCUGUCUAUAACUUCAGUUGCAGUGGAGUUUGGGCAUCAAGCACACAUGUGCACAGAUAUAGAUACAGCCAAAUGCCC
rnacentral:lncRNA from 1 species